rnacentral:rRNA from 1 species
AACGAACGCGGCGGCGCGUCUUAAGCAUGCAAGUCGAACGGCAAGAUACUUUCGGGUAUCCUAGAGUGGCGGACUGGUGAGUAACGCGUGGAUGACGUACCCUCGUGACGGGGAUAGCCGGUAGAAAUACCGGGUAAUACCGGAUAAGGUCUCACGGAAUAAAGGCGUGAGAGGAAAGCAGCGUAUGCUGCGCAGGAGAACGGUCUGCGGCCUAUCAGCUGGUUGGCAGGGUAAAGGCCUACCAAGGCGACGACGGGUAUCCGGCCUGAGAGGGUGAACGGACACAUUGGGACUGGUACGGCCCAGACUCCUACGGGAGGCAGCAGUCUAAGAAUAUUCCGCAAUGGGGGGAAUCCUGACGGAGCGACGCCGCGUGACGAUGAAGGUCGGAAGAUUGUAAAGUCCUUUUAUACAUGAAGAAGAAGUUAUACAGGAAAUGGUAUGAUGGUGACGGUAGUGUAUGAAUA